rnacentral:rRNA from 1 species
AUUGAACGCUGGCGGCAGGCCUAACACAUGCAAGUCGAACGAGUGGCGGACGGGUGAGUAGGGGCUGGGAAAGUGCCCGAUGGAGGGGGAUAACUACUGGAAACGGUAGCUAAUACCGCAUACCAUCGGAUGUGCCCAGAUGGGAUUAGCUAGUGGGUGGGGUAACGGCUCACCUAGGCGACGAUCCCUAGCUGGUCUGAGAGGAUGACCAGCCACACUGGAACUGAGACACGGUCCAGACUCCUACGGGAGGCAGCAGUGGGGAAUAUUGCACAAUGGGCGCAAGCCUGAUGCAGCCAUGCCGCGUGUAUGAAGAAGGCCUUAGGAUUGUAAAGCACUGUCAGCGGGGAGGCGUUACCCGCAGAAGAAGCACCGGCUAACUCCGUGCCAGCAGCCGCGGUAAUUC